rnacentral:ncRNA from 1 species
UAGAGUAAAUAAUGCGCGUUGAUUCUUCGGAAUCUGAAGUGCGGCAGGAUGGGAUGUUGCCUGCCGACGAAAAGUCCAUGCUUUUUGCAUUUGUCUUUCCCGAAGUAAAGACAAAUGCAAAAGAAAACAAACCCAAGGACUUACGGUGCAUUAUUGCAUCCGCUGC